rnacentral:rRNA from 1 species
GACGAACGCUGGCGGCGUGCUUAACACAUGCAAGUCGAACGGAAAGGCCCUGCCUUUGUGGGGUGCUCGAGUGGCGAACGGGUGAGUAACACGUGAGUAACCUGCCCUUGACUUUGGGAUAACUUCAGGAAACUGGGGCUAAUACCGGAUAGGAGCUCCUGCUGCAUGGUGGGGGUUGGAAAGUUUCGGCGGUUGGGGAUGGACUCGCGGCUUAUCAGCUUGUUGGUGGGGUAGUGGCUUACCAAGGCUUUGACGGGUAGCCGGCCUGAGAGGGUGACCGGCCACAUUGGGACUGAGAUACGGCCCAGACUCGUACGGGAGGCAGCAGGGGGGAAUAUUGCACAAUGGGCGGAAGCCUGAUGCAGCAACGCCGCGUGCGGGAUGACGGCCUUCGGGUUGUAAACCGCUUUCGCCUGUGACGAAGCGUGAGUGACGGUAAUGGGUAAAGAAGCACCGGCUAACUACGUG